rnacentral:rRNA from 1 species
CCUACGGGGGGCUGCAGUGGGGAAUAUUGGACAAUGGGGGGAACCCUGAUCCAGCCAUGCCGCGUGUGUGAAGAAGGCCCUCGGGUUGUAAAGCACUUUCAGUGAGGAAGAACGCCUGGUGGUUAAUACCCAUCAGGAAAGACAUCACUCACAGAAGAAGCACCGGCUAACUCCGUGCCAGCAGCCGCGGUAAUACGGAGGGUGCGAGCGUUAAUCGGAAUUACUGGGCGUAAAGCGCGCGUAGGUGGCUUGAUAAGCCGGUUGUGAAAGCCCCGGGCUCAACCUGGGAACGGCAUCCGGAACUGUCAGGCUAGAGUGCAGGAGAGGAAGGUAGAAUUCCCGGUGUAGCGGUGAAAUGCGUAGAGAUCGGGAGGAAUACCAGUGGCGAAGGCGGCCUUCUGGACUGACACUGACACUGAGGUGCGAAAGCGUGGGUAGCAAACAGGAUUAGAUACCCCAGUAGUC